UUUUUUAUAUAUAAGAUAUUCAUUAAGUCAGGCAGUUAUUAUUGUAAAUAAAUCUAUUUUAAGAUGAAAAAUUGGCUCAAAACCUUAAUUAGGAAGAAUAUUCAUAAAAUCAUAUUUUAAUUAAAAUCACAUUCUUUACAGAUAUAAUGAUCAUCAAUGUACCAAAUAUAUGUAGGCCAUCACUAGUAUUCAAAUAAUGGAAUCAUAAGCAUCAUACCACAUCUUCGUU
rnacentral:lncRNA from 1 species